rnacentral:lncRNA from 7 species
UAUACGGCACGGCACCUUCGGCGAGGACUCAACUCAACAGAGAAUGAUUUGACAAACAUUGAUCCGCCAGCUCAACUCUGAAAAAGAAAAGAGGAGAAUCUCUCUAGCUUGUGGAAUCACUUCCCUGGAUGCUUAGAUAGCUCGAGAAAGUCUUGCAGGAUCGCAUCUAUUGCUUCUUGUGCUCAUCGCAGGGCUGUCUAGUAUCAGUGGUGGCAAUAUCUUUAGCUAUAUUCUUUCUCUUUGUCUUGGCCUUGACCUUCACAGCUUUAGAUGCUGGUGCUGCACCACUUGUGUGCUCUGUAGAUGUUCAGGUUGAUUUGAGCCUUCUUUGGAUCUGUAAAAAUGCAUUCAUUUUAGUUAAACUUCGAGAGUUAUACCGUUUAGUACCAACAAUUUAUUGAUUUAAAACUGUGAGAAAAUUAGAUCUACUCAUAAGCCAAUUUUUAUGUGAAUUUUCAUGCAUUUG